AGAGUUUGAUCCUGGCUCAGAACGAACGCUGGCGGCGUGCCUAAUACAUGCAAGUCGUGCGAGAAAGUUCCGCUUCGGUGGAGCGAGUAAAGCGGCAAACGGGUGAGUAACACGUAAGCAAUCUGCCCUUAAGUUCGGAAUAACCUUGCCAACGCGGGGGUAAUACCGGAUGUGGUCACGAGGUCGCAUGGCCUUGUGAUUAAAGAUGACCUCUUCUUGAAAGUUAUCGCUUGAGGAUGAGCUUGCGCACCAUUAGCUUGUUGGUGGGGUAACGGCCUACCAAGGCUGCUAUGGUUAGCCGACCUGAGAGGGUGAUCGGCCACAUUGGGACUGAGAUACGGCCCAGACUCCUACGGGAGGCAGCAGUAGGGAAUUUUGCGCAAUGGACGAAAGUCUGACGCAGCAACGCCGCGUGAGGGAUGAAGGGUUUCGGCUCGUAAACCUCUGUUGAGUGGGAAGAAAAGCCUUACGGUUAAUACCCGUAAGGUAUGACGGUACCAUUCGAGGAAGCUCCGGCUAACUACGUGCCAGCAGCCGCGGUAAUACGUAGGGGGCAAGCGUUGUUCGGAAUCACUGGGCGUAAAGGGAGUGUAGGCGGGAGAGUAAGUCAGGAGUCUAACCCACGGGCCUAACCCGUGGCCGGCUUUUGAUACUGCUUUUCUUGAGUAUGGGAGAGGAAGAUGGAAUUCCAGGUGUAGCGGUGGAAUGCGUAGAUAUCUGGAAGAACACCAGUUGCGAAGGCGGUCUUCUGGCCCAAUACUGACGCUGAGGCUCGAAAGCUAGGGGAGCAAACAGGAUUAGAUACCCUGGUAGUCCUAGCCAUAAACGAUGGACACUAGUUGGUGGAGGGGGUCAAUCCCUUCACUGACGAAGCUAACGCAUUAAGUGUCCCGCCUGGGGAGUACGCUCGCAAGGGUGAAACUCAAAGGAAUUGACGGGGGCCCGCACAAGCGGUGGAGCAUGUGCUUUAAUUCGAUCCACGCUAAGAACCUUACCUGGGCUUGACAUGUGAGUGAAAGUUUUCAGAGAUGAAAUCCCUUCCGCAAGGAACACUCAACACAGGUGCUGCAUGGUUGUCGUCAGCUCGUGUCGUGAGAUGUUGGGUUAAGUCCCGCAACGAGCGCAACCCCCGUCCUUAGUUGCCAUCAGGUAAUGCUGGGAACUCUAGGGAGACUGCCUGGUCACAACCAGGAGGAAGGUGGGGAUGACGUCAAAUCAUCAUGGCUCUUACGUCCAGGGCUAGACACGUGCUACAAUGGUCGGUACAAUGGGUUGCGACAUCGCGAGAUGGAGCCAAUCCCCAAAACCGGCCUCAGUUCAGAUUGGAGUCUGCAAUUCGACUCCAUGAAGGUGGAAUCGCUAGUAAUCGCGGAUCAGCAUGCCGCGGUGAAUACGUUCCCGGGCCUUGUACACACCGCCCGUCAAGCCAUGAAAGAUGGGAGUACCCGAAGUCAUAGCCUUAACCGCAAGGAAGGGCGUGCCGAAGGUAAGACCAUUGAUUGGGGCUAAGUCGGAACAAGGUA
rnacentral:rRNA from 1 species